CAUUGCAGAAAAAGUGGACGUCAUUUCUAAAGACUCACCUGGACUGUCCUGUCCCUCAAACCAGACUACCACUUCUCAUACAGGAUGUGUUCCUCUUCUGUCCAGACACCUGGAAAACCUGUAUAUUCUAUGGUGUCUUCACUCCUCAGGGUCCAAAAGCCUCGUAGUCUGUUGGAUAGGAUCUCUAAAUUUCCAAGGGAUAGGCUCCAGGUUCCUCACAACCCUCUGUAGGUAGUUACCCUUCAGCUCAUCCGAGACCACCCACUGAUGGAUCAGACAGUGAAGCCUUCUGAGCAGCCCCUACUGGUGAAGAAAGGAGCUGUGUUUACUCGUAUAGUGGUGGCCAGCACUACUGCCCUGAAUGGGAGCAGCCAUCAGGUCAUGUUUAUUGGCACAGAUACAUAAAUGUAAAUUUAGUGUACAGGUUACAUAAUUUAUACAGACUUAUCCAUGUAUGUGUUAGUGUUCAAUCAACUGUACAAUCUUUGUAACAGCAAGUGGUAGCUGCUUUUCUUUUUGUUUUAUAGUAUGUAGUAUAUGGAGCUGAUGGGAUAGUUAUUGACUUUUGUCACAAGAAAAAAAAAUAAAGCAAAAUGUGACCGUGUCAAUACUUGCCAUUAGCAUUAGUGAUAUUAGUGAAAAUCAUGCAGAGACGGCUGUGUCUAAGAAUCAAGUGUUUUUUUUUUUUUUUUUUUUUUUUUUUUAAAUUGGAACUUUGUAUGACAUUAGACUAAUUAAUUGAUUUUAUAAAGGCGAAGAAAUAGUUAUCUGUUUUUAGUUUUGGAGAAUGAUCGAAAUGCAUUUUCACUUGAGUGAAUUGUUUUUAUUCUUUUAAUAAUUUUACAAAAUAUUUUAGAAAUAAAAUUUUCCUACUGCUAUUAACACAUUUUAUUUACAUGCAAAUCUAUCUUUUUUUUGCCCUCAUCAUUCGCACGAGUAGAACUAAUAUAAAAUAAUACUUAAUGACUUUCCCAUCAUGGCUAUACCAGUACUCUUCUGGUUCAUUUAAUUAUUUCUACUUGUGAUUCAGUUUUAGUUUGAUUCUGUUAUAGUUUGACCAUCUUUUUAAUAAUUGCUGCACAUAUUGUUUCAGGGUCAGCUGUAUGCAGGCUCAGAGGAAGCAACGGUGCAGAUGCCACUGAGUACAUGUGACCAUUACGCUUCCUUUAUAGACUGUGUGCUGGCCAGAGACCCGUACUGCGGCUGGGACCUCAGCGCUGAACGCUGCAUUGCUAUAAAAAACAUUCAUCCAGAUACACACAGUUAGGUGGUUCAGAGUCUGAGAGAUGGAAAUGCUGCAUGUUUUCCUGUUGUCAGUAUGUAAACAGGUGGCCUUUUACAUUCUUUGGUUCAGCCGCAGGUCCAGGACCAGCAGAAAUCUCUCUUGGCCCUCAAUAUCCUGGUCAUUAUAAGAACACUAUUAUUAGCUCUUGUGGUAUGGAACUUCUACAAAGGGCAUUUUGCUGUCCAGAGAUGCUUGGAAAAAGCUGAGGAAAGUCCACAGAGUGUGUUUGUCUGUCAGGAGCCACUGCAAAUUGUUCAAGAAAGUUCAACAGAAAUAACAAUCAACAGAAUAGCUGAAUCCCCUGAUAUGACAAACCAGCAUAAUUGAGACAAAUUGCUCCAGUGAAGUUUAUUUUUUAUUUUGCAGACACCUCAAUGACAAAUCCAACAUAAUCCAGUUUCAUAGCUCAAGUCACACAAUCUGAACUGAUUGGAGAUUUAAAAACAGUUUUAUUACACUUUAUUAUUUCAUGUUAUUUGUAGACCUCAGUAUUGCUUAAAACCCUAAAGCAGUGAAACAGGUUUAAGCACAGUAUAUUGUUUGCCAAUUAAAAACAAAGGCCAAAAUAGAUGUGAUGUAUUGAAGAUUGUAUAUGGACUACUGAAGAGGAUUAUACAACCAGUCAUCCAUGGGAUGGCAGCAUAAUUCAUAUUUCCUUCAUAAAUCUGUAUUCUGGGGGAUUCAUUGAAUGAGAGUGACCACCAGUUAUGUUUUUUCUUUUUUAAAAAAUUUUUUUUUGAUUAUUCAAGCUAGUGUUAAAUGGUUUUGCGGAGGUCUCUGUGCAUUAGAGCCUGUGCUCGUCUUUCCAGACAGGAUACACAAAAGAUUCUUUCAAAAUCCAUGUCAGAUAACACCUUUGGCACGUCUAGACAUCUACACUGAACACAUUUUUUAAAAACCUGUAGCUGUUGAAGCUUCCAGAUUCAGCACUGUGUUUCCAGGGCAGUAGCUCAAUGAAAUUUGCAGGACUUUUUUACCUCUCUCUCAAUGUAUCUUUUUUUUUUUUUUAAAUUCUAACAUUUUGUGAGCAUUUUUUUUUUUUAAUGUAAAAUAAAUGUUUGUGUAAUGUCUUGUGUACAGAACCAUUAUUUUCAGUCUACGUGACUUGUAAGGAAAAUUAAGUUGUUGUUUAAAAAAGAUUUUUAUUGUUGCAAAAUAAUAUGAAAACAUAACCAUUAAAAUCUAAUCAUUUGAGGAGAGUCAAUUCAGUUAUAUAAAAAUAUCCAGAAUUUGCUUUACUAUCAUUUUAAUUACAGGUUAACCUCAUCCACAUAUCUUUUAAAUUACUUUUGUUCCCAUGAGUAAAGACCUGGUGUAAAGUUUAUUGUUUACUCAACAAUGAAAUGCUGCACUGCAAUGUGAAAGCAUCUUAAGUAACUUACAUAUUCACGUUGAAGUUUAAACUUAAGUACAAGAUAACUGUUUGUACAGAUGUCUUGAGCAUCAGCUUCUCAUCUCCUGUAGCAAUAGCGCUUGAAAUGAAACCACAGCUGAAGAUUCCCUUGGAGAACUGGCAGCAGAAGCCGUGUCGAUGUGAGCACUCCCAUUCAUGGAUGACCAUCUUAAAUACAAUGUCCUCGUAGGGCGGCCUGGCGUGAAAACGCAUAAUGCUAAUUUCCUUGUUGUCCAGACUCGGAUCAAGGAAGUACUGAGGCAUGGAACAUUUGUCGAUCAGGUCCGGGUAGAAGAUGUUUAACUAGUAACCCUGGACAAUUUUGGGGGGUGACUUUGGAGGCAAUGACAACUACAGCAAUGAGAUGUCUGCGAGCGAGCUGGAGGUGCUGGAUGCCUUCUUCUGUAUCAACGACAUGUGUGUCGAGCGAGAGCUCGGCGGGCUGCAGGAGCACGGGACUGUAACGACCCAAGUCGUACUCAGCCUGGUUCUGCCUCCAUCAGAUCCUUGUCCGUCAGCACAGACUCCGCUGCUCCACUUUUCUCUCCCUCCUCACCCUCUUCUGCAUCUCCUUCUCACCUCCCCCCCUUCUCUGCAGAGGCUCUGGAGCUCGGCCCUGCCUCUCAUCUCCACUUUCUUCCUCUUUGUAUUUACUUUCCUCUGCCUGCAUCGGCAGACAGGUAUAAAGGGCGGCUUUCCUUACCCUAUAUUUUGACAGUAUUAUGACCCCAAUAAAACAAUAAA